ensembl:lncRNA
CCGUCUGCCCCAAAGUAUUUUAGAGAGCAAGAGCGUGUGAGAAUCUUAAUCACAGAGCUGUCUUCUCUUGCAGACUCCCGCCAGCAGAUGACAUCUUUGGCGUGACAAAUGGGAACUUCACGGCGUAGGUUUCAUUCGGGAGUCAGACGUGCGUUUUGAAAGAGGAACAAUGAAUAUUUAGCCACGACUCAUUCGUGCCUCUCCAUGUAAUGGACAAACGUGAAAGAGUACAAUUUCAUCCAGAGCAUGAAGUCGGCAGCCCGUAAGUGGGUUGUUUCGCGUGCAGCUGUAGCUGGAGGAAUUCCUCGGCUCAGUUAUUUGCUCUUGUCAAGCGUGACAACUUGUUAAAAAGUGUGAGGGAAGCCCCCAGCAGUUUUCCGCUGGCAUGUAAAAUGUUCGCAUUUCUUCACACUCUGAAAAAAAGAAAAUUGUACAGCAGACAUGUGGACGGCAGAGUCAUGUUGGAGAGUUGUUGACCAAGGUGAUGGGAGCUAUCAGCUCGCCUGCCUCAAGCUCCGGGACCUCCUAAAUCCAAGGAGAAGCCCUGGCAAGCGGAAGAAGCAAUCUCCCGCUCUCCGACUCGCUCCUCCGACCCCGCCAGUACCGGCCCCGAGACUUCAGGCCCCGACCCUCCGGUACCGGCCCCGAGACUCCCGACCCCUCCGGUCCCCGCUCCCCGAGACUCCCGACUCCUCCGGUCCCCGCUCCCUGAGACUCCCGACUCUUCCAAUUUUGUGAAUGCGCUGAAUGACAUCUGCCCUCUGUGUUGCGUUUAAGCAGAUAAGCCCGUAAAAAAUUAACAGUUUUGUUUUAAGCCUAGUACUCUUGACAAAAAUAUCUAUUACUAGUGGAGGAAAGAAAAUAAUCUCUGCUUGGUUUUUUAAUGCAGAAAUAAAUCAUCUCUGUAAUUACGUCUUGGUUUUGUACUGCAAUGAUUUGAACAUUUCUCAUCACUACUUUGCUUUCUCGGUAACUUCAUGACGUGUCUUCAGCACUGAGAAAAAAUUAGGUCUUUGAAUGAACUGUUAACACAUUCUGUGAUUACAGUGAUGUCAACUUGAAAAACGCAGUUAGCCACAAUUAUCACAGUCAAUUUAGUAUGUAAUAUUCAUGCUCACCCACAAUUAAAAUGAACGUUGU